UACGUAGGUGACAAGCGUUGUCCGGAUUUACUGGGCGUAAAGAGCGCGCAGGCGGUCGAUCAAGUCGAGUGUGAAAGCCCCCGGCUCAACCGGGGAAUUGCGCCCUAAACUGGCGAGCUGGAGUGAGAUAGGGGUGUGUGGAACUUCCGGUGGAGCGGUGAAAUGUGUUGAUAUCGGAAGGAACGCCGGUGGCGAAAGCGACACACUGGAUCUUGUCUGACGCUGAGGCACGAAAGCCAGGGGAGCGAACGGG
rnacentral:rRNA from 1 species